rnacentral:rRNA from 1 species
ACUCCUACGGGAGGCAGCAGUGGGGAAUAUUGCACAAUGGGCGCAAGCCUGAUGCAGCCAUGCCGCGUGUGUGAAGAAGGCCUUCGGGUUGUAAAGCACUUUCAGUCGUGAGGAAGGUAGUGUAGUUAAUAGCUGCAUUAUUUGACGUUAGCGACAGAAGAAGCACCGGCUAACUCCGUGCCAGCAGCCGCGGUAAUACGGAGGUGCGAGCGUUAAUCGGAAUUACUGGGCGUAAAGCGCAUGCAGGUGGUUGUUAAGUCAGAUGUGAAAGCCCGGGGCUCAACCUCGGAAUAGCAUUUGAAACUGGCAGACUAGAGUACUGUAGAGGGGGUAGAAUUUCAGGUGUAGCGGUGAAAUGCGUAGAGAUCUGAAGGAUACCGGUGGCGAAGGCGGCCCCUGGACAGAUACUGACACUCAGAUGCGAAAGCGUGGGAGCAAACAGGAUUAGAUACCCCUGGUAGACUGUCA